AUGGGGGGAACCCUGAUGCAGCAUCGCCGCGUGAGUGAAGAAGGCAUUCUGUGCGUAAAACUCUGUAGUAGGGGAAGAAAGAAAUGACAGUACCCUAAUUAGAAAGCCCCGGCUAACUACGUGCCAGCAGCCGCGGUAAUACGUAGGGGGCAAGCGUUAUCCGGAAUAACUGGGCGUAAAGGGUGCGCAGGUGGUUUAACAAGUUAGUGGUGAAAGGCAUAGGCUCAACCAAUGUAAGCCAUUAAAACUGUUUAACUUGAGUGCAGGAGAGGAAAGUGGAAUUCCUAGUGUAGCGGUGAAAUGCGUAGAUAUUAGGAGGAAUACCAGUGGCGAAGGCGACUUUCUGGACUGCAACUGACACUGAGGCACGAAAGCGUGGGGAGCAAACAUUGAUUAUAUACCCUGGUAGUCCACGCCCGUAAACGAUGAGUACUACGUGUCGGGUGAAGAACUCGGUGCCGAAGUCAAACACAUUAAGUACUCCGCCCUGGGGGAGUACGCUCGCAAGAAGUA
rnacentral:rRNA from 1 species